rnacentral:rRNA from 1 species
AUUGAACGCUGGCGGCAGGCCUAACACAUGCAAGUCGAACGAGUGGCGGCCGGGUGAGUAAUGUCUGGGAAACUGCCUGAUGGAGGGGGAUAACUACGGGAAACGGUACCUAAUCCCGCAGACACUCGUCUUGGCCCAGAGGGGAGUAGCAGGGAGUUGGGGUAACGGCUCACCUAGGCGACGAUCCCUAGCGGGUCUGGGAGGAUGACCAGCCACACUGGAACUGAGACACGGUCCAGACUCCUACGGUAGGAAGCAGUGGGGAAGAUUGCACAAUGGGCGCAAGCCUGAUGCAGCCAUGCCGCGUGUAUGAAGAAGGCCUUAGGGUUGUAAAGUACUUUCAGCGGGGAGGCGUUACCCGCAGAAGAAGCACCGGCUAACUCCGUGCCAGCAGCCGCGGUAAUUC